AUACUUACCUUCUCGGAGCGUUUUCAGAUCAAGAAUUGAGAGCGCUAUGAUACGAGUCCUCCAUUGCACAUCGGGGCGACGAGAAUCGUUGGGUAUCCUUCGGGGUCCCCAUCGGGGGAAUUUUUGAUUGCUUCCUUCGGGAUAAC
rnacentral:snRNA from 1 species